GACGAACGCUGGCGGCGUGCUUAACACAUGCAAGUCGAACGGAGUGGCGAACGGGUGAGUAACACGUGGGUGACCUGCCCUGCACUUCGGGAUAAGACUGGGAAACUGGGUGUAAUACCGGAUAGUGGGGGAUGGGCCCGCGGCCUAUCCGCUUGUUGGUGGGGUAAUGGCCUACCAAGGCGGCGACGGGUAGCCGGCCUGAGAGGGUGGACGGUCACAUCGGGACUGAGACACGGCCCAGACUGCUACGGGAGGCAGCAGUGGGGAAUAUUGCACAAUGGGCGGAAGCCUGAUGCAGCGACGCCGCGUGGGGGAUGACGGCCUUCGGGUUGUAAACUCCUUUCACCAUCGACGCGGUAGAUGGAGAAGAAGCACCGGCUAACUACGUGCCAGCAGCCGCGGUAAUUC
rnacentral:rRNA from 1 species